rnacentral:rRNA from 1 species
GACGAACGCUGGCGGCGUGCUUAACACAUGCAAGUCGAACGAAGUGGCGAACGGGUGAGUAACGCGUAAUCAACCUGCCCUUCAGAGGGGGACAACAGUUGGAAACGACUGCUAAUACCGCAUACUGAAGGAGGGGAUUGCGUCUGAUUGGCCAGUUGGAGGGGGAACGGCCCACCAAGGCGAAGAGCAGUAGCCGGUCUGAGAGGAUGAACGGCAACAUUGGGACUGAGACACGGCCCAGACUCCUACGGGGAGCAGCAGUGGGGAAUCGUCCGCAAUGGACGAAAGUCUGGCGGAGCAACGCCGCGGGAGUGAUGACGGCCUUCGGGUUGUAAAGCUCUGUUAGUCUGGACGCAGUCCCGGCAUAGAAAGCCACGGCUAACUACGUGCCAGCAGCCGCGGUAAUUC